rnacentral:rRNA from 1 species
UACAGAGACUGCAAGCGUUAUUCGGAUUCACUGGGCGUAAAGGGUGCGCAGGUGGUUGUUUGUGUCAGAUGUGAAAUCCCGGAGCUUAACUCCGGAACUGCGUCUGAAACUGCACGACUAGAGCAUUGGAGAGGGUAGUGGAAUUCACGGUGUAGCAGUGAAAUGCGUAGAUAUCGUGAGGAACACCAGAGGCGAAGGCGACUACCUGGACAAUUGCUGACACUCAGGCACGAAAGCAUGGGGAGCAAAAGGG